CCUACGGGAGGCAGCAGUGGGGAAUAUUGGACAAUGGGCGAAAGCCUGAUCCAGCCAUGCCGCGUGUGUGAAGAAGGUCUUCGGAUUGUAAAGCACUUUAAGUUGGGAGGAAGGGCAGUAAGUUAAUACCUUGCUGUUUUGACGUUACCAACAGAAUAAGCACCGGCUAACUUCGUGCCAGCAGCCGCGGUAAUACGAAGGGUGCAAGCGUUAAUCGGAAUUACUGGGCGUAAAGCGCGCGUAGGUGGUUCAGCAAGUUGGAUGUGAAAUCCCCGGGCUCAACCUGGGAACUGCAUCCAAAACUACUGAGCUAGAGUACGGUAGAGGGUGGUGGAAUUUCCUGUGUAGCGGUGAAAUGCGUAGAUAUAGGAAGGAACACCAGUGGCGAAGGCGACCACCUGGACUGAUACUGACACUGAGGUGCGAAAGCGUGGGGAGCAAACAGGAUUAGAUACCCCAGUAGUC
rnacentral:rRNA from 1 species